rnacentral:tRNA from 1 species
ACCACUAUAUUUCAGUGGUAGAAUAAUUCAUUCAUGAUGAGUAUGCAUAGAUUCAAUUUCUACUAGUGGUA